rnacentral:rRNA from 2 species
GCACAAGCAGUGGAGCAUGUGUUUAAUUCGAAGCAACGCGAAGAACCUUACCAGGGCUUGACAUCCCUCUGACAGUCCCUUAACCGGGACCGUUCUUCGGACAGAGGAGACAGGUGGUGCAUGGUUGUCGUCAGCUCGUGUCGUGAGAUGUUGGGUUAAGUCCCGCAACGAGCGCAACCCUUGUCUUUAGUUGCCAUCAUUCAGUUGGGCACUCUAGAGAGACUGCCGAGGACAACUCGGAGGAAGGUGGGGAUGACGUCAAAUCAUCAUGCCCCUUAUGUCCUGGGCUACACACGUGCUACAAUGGCUGGUACAAAGAGACGCAAGACCGCGAGGUGGAGCAAAUCUCAAAAACCAGUCCCAGUUCGGAUUGUAGGCUGCAACUCGCCUGCAUGAAGUCGGAGUUGCUAGUAAUCGCAGAUCAGAAUGCUGCGGUGAAUGCGUUCCCGGGUCUU